CGCUUAUUUUGCCCAGGCGGAGCUCGACCGCCCGUUCCGCAAAUGACUGGCUUCAUUGACGAAUUCCGGGAGGAAUUCGGGGCUGAGCCAUCGAGUCGCCAUGCGUUCGAGACCGAUGGCGAACCCGAUCUGCCGCGUGCUGCCGAUCGCCCCG
rfam:Rhodobacteraceae bacterium HLTCCA09 ITZX_scaf_597, whole genome shotgun sequence.